UCAGGUCAUGGUUCCUUUCCAAAAUAUACUGAAAAGCUGGAAAACAAUAGACGUCCUUUCAGAUGAGAAGCAACCAAAGUAUUCUCAUAUUAGAAAUAGAGUCCUCUCAGAAACGUUUUAUAGAUCUUCAUUUGUCUGUCUUCUUUCUUUUCUUUCUUUCUUUCACUUUGUGUAGGAAGCAUCCUUUUUUUUUUUUUUUUUUUUUUUCUGAAGGAUUCAGUGAUUGAAUAGCUCUCUGGUUCUUCCUCUCCUUUGUUCUCCCCCUCUCUUCCUUGUCCACAUUCCAGUCUUGAUUCUGAGUCAGUCUGUCAAGGUGUUCCAUUGCCAAAGGCAGAUAUUUGUUUCCCAAGGGUUUUGUUUGUGAAAAGAAACCAUUUCUUCACUUGUAGUACUUCUCUAACAAAUUAUUCUUCUCGUGUUCUGAGUUGAACUAUCAUUAUCAACAUAUCAGCCUUCUCCAUCUUCCUGGAGGUUUUACUUUACCAAUAUCUGCUAUACUUUCACGGAGGAAUCCUCAUGCUUUAUAGAGGUCUUGUGCAAAGGUGGUUGUAUAUUGCACUCCACUUUACAAAUGAAAUAAAACACUGGAAGAAGACAUACAUAAGAGAAAAAGCAUUGCUCUCAGCUUUUACGCUGCUUCCUACUUUAUUUGGGACUCUGUCCUCUACCCAGACAUCGGUCAUUUGAGAUCCGUGCCAGGGAGAGAAGAAUAUCCUUUUGGUCUGUGGAAGCUUGAAGAAUAGAGUGGAGCUUGCUGUGGGGGCGCAGCAGAAUAAUGUAGCAAGUUGAAAUUAAAUAAUUGAAGUUUCUGGAAC
rnacentral:lncRNA from 12 species